AAGCGUAGACCCGAAACCACAGUGAUCUACCCAUGUCCAGGUUGAAACACAGGUAAAAAUGUGUGGAGGACCGAACCUAUAUCCGUUGAAAAGGGUUAGGAUGAGGUGUGGGUAGGGGUGAAAUUCCAAUCGAACGUGGAGAUAGCUGGUUCUCCCCGAAAUAGCUUUAGGGCUAGCCUCAGGGAAAAGAUUGCAGGCGGUAGAGCACUGAUCAGGAGAGGGACCUACCCGGUUACCAAACCCAGUCAAACUCCGAAUGGCUGCAAUCAUACCUGGGAGUCAGACUGCGACUAAUAAGGGCCGCAGUCAAAAGGGAAACAGCCCAGACCAUCAGCUAAGGUCCCCAAUGCCGUGCUAAGUGGCGAAGGAUGUGGCAUUUCAUAAACAACCAGGAUGUUGGCUCAGAAGCAGCCACCAUUUAAAGAGUGCGUAAUAGCUCACUGGUCGAGAGACGCUGCGCCGAAAAUGUCCGGGGCUCAAGCACGGAACCGAAGCUAUGGCAUGAUAGCAAUAUCAUGGGUAGGGGAGCGUUCUUAUAAGGAAGAAGCAUGACCGGAAGGACAUGUGGACGAAUAAGAAGUGAGAAUGCCGGUAUGAGUAUCGAAAAGAAAGGUGAGAAUCCUUUCCACCGAAAGCCCGAGGGUUCCUGAGCAACGAUCGUCGACUCAGGGUAAGUCGGGACCUAAGCCGAGGCGAGAAGCGUAGGCGAUGGACAACAGGUUGAAAUUCCUGUACCGGAUCAAGUCGAUCGAGCGAAGGAGCGACGCAGGAGGGCACAUGAUCGCGCGGCUGGAAGAGCGCGUCCAAGUGCGUAUGUUGCAGCAGAGGAAAACCCCUGCAGCUAAAAGCAGAGACAUGAUGGGGAGUUAAAGGAAACUUUGACGAACUCAUGAAUCCCACACUGCCAAGAAAAACUUCUAGCGAGACAAGAUCCGCCCGUACCGUAAACCGACACAGGUAGGCGGGGAGAGAAUCCUAAGGUGCGCGGGAAAACCCUCGUUAAGGAACUCGGCAAAUUGCAUCCGUAACCUAGGGAGAAGGAUGGCCCCCGGUCAGUGAAGAGCAGAAACGCUCAGAGCUAAAAGGGGCGGCAGAAAAGAGGCCCAAGCAACUGUUUACCAAAAACACAGGUGCCUGCGAAAGCGAAAGCUGAAGUAUAGGUGCUGACGCCUGCCCGGUGCCGGAAGGUUAAGGAGAGAAGUUAGCGAAAGCGAAGCAUCGAACUGAAGCCCCGGUGAACGGCGGCCGUAACUAUAACGGUCCUAAGGUAGCGAAAUUCCUUGUCGGGUAAGUUCCGACCCGCAUGAAAGGCGUAAUGAUUUGGGCACUGUCUCAACGAGGGGCCCGGUGAAAUUGAAAUACCUGUGAAGAUGCAGGUUACCCGCGACUGGACAGAAAGACCCCAUGG
rnacentral:rRNA from 1 species